UCAGAUAAAGCUGAGCCUCUUUCAGUUAAUAUAUUGCAGACAGUCUUAGCCUAUGGCCUUCUUGCUUAAGCUUUCUGGCAACACAUAAGCACCCCAGAUUCAUAACACGUGACAACUCGUGCAAUUUAUCCAGUCUAUCCUUACCUGAAGCUUGUAUAUAAAGAGCUCACAAAAACAUUGGGUACUAGCGUUGUUAUCUACUGCCUUGUCAAAAGCAUCAAAUUGAAUUUCUAAAAAAGAUUCCAGCGAAGAUAUAAUUCACUUAAUGCAUCCAUCUCUAUACAGAAUUACGGAAGAGAUACUUGAUUAACAAUGCUUAAUCCACUGCAAAGAAUGAUACCUGGAUGUAUCAGACUGUUGAAGGCUAAAGCUCCUGGAAAAUUGCCUCCAUGUAGGACAGACACACUGAUGCAGCGAUCAGCCCUAUUUCUUGGCAUGUUAGGCUUCAGCAUGUCUUAUUACAGCACAUGGCAAAUGCAUCUCCAGCAGAAAUCAGCCUGAAACUUUGAAGUCGACCCCUGACGAAGUCAACGCUGCCCAUUCACAGUUGAACAAUGAAGUUGACGUUGUGACGUUUGUCGUCCGACUGCAUCCAGUAUCGUGCACAAUGGCUUGUUGCUUAAAAUGCAGCAACACUAUGAGAGCUGUUGCAAUAAUUUGUCCUUGCUAAAGGAAUUGGUCUUGAGCCAAUGCAGAGUGUUUGCAUUCUGAAAUUUUGUGCUGUUUGUAAUUAUUUAUUUGAGAUGGGAAUUUCAGGUUAGCUGUUUUGGAGUUGGCUGUAGAAAAAGCAGUCAAUGUGCCAUGCAGUGCUGCUAUCGUCUGCAAUGCACACUGUUUGACCAGUCUGAAAUCCAUUCAAGUGAUUCCACUGGACUCUCCUCAAAGGACUGCAGCAACUUAAAAAAAUUAAAUUACAAAAUAAGAUAACCAAUUAAUAAAAGUAUCUUCCUUUGAUGGAUGAAAAUGAGCAUGAGGGAAGAAACAAUGAGCUAAACGCACCAGAAAAAUAAAUGUUUCAUUCCAAGGAAUCAUAACAUUCACUUUUGUCAAGGCCUGAUAAUGUUGGAUUAAAUUGAGGCUAUUGUCUCUUCAUAUUUGUCUUCUGUCAAUGAUCAACUGAAUAGUUUAAAAUGAACAAAAAAAUAAAGAAAUAAUCCAGUGCA